rnacentral:rRNA from 1 species
CACGCUGUAAACGAUCAAUACUAGGUGUGCGGGGACUGACCCCCUGCGUGCCGGAGUUAACACAAUAAGUAUUGCACCUGGGGAGUACGAUCGCAAGGUUGAAACUCAAAGGAAUUGACGGGGGCCCGCACAAGCGGUGGAUUAUGUGGUUUAAUUCGAAGCAACGCGAAGAACCUUACCAAGGCUUGACAUAUAGAGGAAACGGCCAGAGAUGGUCGCCCCGCAAGGUCUCUAUACAGGUGG